rnacentral:rRNA from 1 species
AAGGGAGGGGGAUCGCAAGACCUCUCGCAGUUGGAGCGGCCGAUGGCGGAUUAGCUAGUUGGUAGGGUAAAGCCUACCAAGCCUUCGAUCUGUAGCUGGUCUGAGAGGACGACCAGCCACACUGGAACUGAGACACGGUCCAGACUCCUACGGGAGGCAGCAGUGGGGAAUUUUGGACAAUGGGCGCAAGCCUGAUCCAGCAAUGCCGCGUGCAGGAUGAAGGCCUUCGGGUUGUAAACUGCUUUUGUACGGAACGAAACGGCUCUUUCUAAUAAAGAGAGCUAAUGACGGUACCGUAAGAAUAAGCACCGGCUAACUACGUG